rnacentral:rRNA from 1 species
UACAGAGGGGGCAAGCGUUGUUCGGAAUUACUGGGCGUAAAGGGCGCGUAGGCGGCCUGUUAAGUCGAACGUGAAAUCCCCGGGCUCAACCCGGGAACUGCGUCCGAUACUGGCAGGCUUGAAUUCGGGAGAGGGAUGCGGAAUUCCAGGUGUAGCGGUGAAAUGCGUAGAUAUCUGGAGGAACACCGGUGGCGAAGGCGGCACCCUGGACCGAGAUUGACGCUGAGGCGCGAAAGCCAGGGGAGCAAACGGG